UACAGAGGUGGCAAGCGUUGUUCGGAAUUACUGGGCGUAAAGGGCGCGUAGGCGGCCAUCUAAGUCAGACGUGAAAUCCCCCGGCUUAACCUGGGAACUGCGUCUGAUACUGGAAGGCUUGAGUAUGGGAGAGGGAUGUAGAAUUCCAGGUGUAGCGGUGAAAUGCGUAGAUAUCUGGAGGAAUACCGGUGGCGAAGGCGGCAUCCUGGACCAUAACUGACGCUGAGGCGCGAAAGCUAGGGGAGCAAACGGG
rnacentral:rRNA from 1 species